GGCUCCGCAGCGUAGUGGUCAGCACGUCAGCUUGACACGCAGAAGGUCCUGGAUUCGCGCCCAGGUGGAGCCA
rnacentral:tRNA from 1 species